rnacentral:rRNA from 1 species
AGGACGAACGCUGGCGGCGUGCUUAACACAUGCAAGUCGAGCGGAAAGGCCCUUCGGGGUACUCGAGCGGCGAACGGGUGAGUAACACGUGAGUAACCUGCCCCUAGCUCUGGGAUAGCUCCGGGAAACCGGGAUUAAUACCAGAUACGACCACUUUAGACAUCUGUCGUGGUGGAAAGGAUUCCGGCUAGGGAUGGGCUCGCGGCCUAUCAGCUUGUUGGUGGGGUAACGGCCUACCAAGGCGACGACGGUAGCCGGCCUGAGAGGGCGACCGGCCACACUGGGACUGAGACACGGCCCAGACUCCUACGGGAGGCAGCAGUGGGAAUAUUGCGCAAUGGGCGAAAGCCUGACGCAGCGACGCCGCGUGGGGGAUGGAAGGCCUUCGGGUUGUAAACCCCUUUCAGCAGGGACGAAGCGAAAGUGACGGUACCUGCAGAAGAAGCGCCGGCUAACUACGUGCCAGCAGCCGC